CUAUUAUUAUUUUUAUUAUUUUUAUUAUUUUUAGUCCAGGUGGAUCUGACUGUGGUCUGGCUUAUGUCAAUGUUGAUACUAACGCUCUUGAAAUUGGAGCAGCUUUUGGAGGUGAGAAGGAGACGGGUGGAGGCAGACAGGCUGGCAGUGACGCUUGGAAGAAGUACAUGAGACGCUCCACCUGCACCAUCAAUUACAGUGAUGAACUACCUUUAGCUCAAGGAAUUAAAUUUGAAUGAUACUCACUGAUAGUAUAUGUGUGUGCAUCCCUUUAUUUUGAAAUUUAAAUGACCA